rnacentral:lncRNA from 1 species
AGUUUCACUCAUGCCCUCUCCCUCUAGUGUGGGAAAAGAAGAGGAACCUCCAAAAUUUCCUAACUGCACAAAGAAAUUGGAAGAGAAACAAGAAGUUCCCUUCUGCAAACUUCCUAAAAGGUGCCAUGUGUUUUCCUAAAACCAAGGAAAAUUCUAAAAUAGAACUACCAUAUGAUUCAGCAAUCCCACUUCUCUAAAUCUCCGGAAUCUCCAGGGAUUGGAACCAAGUGCUUUAUCUUUACCAUAUACCAAUCCAUGAAUCAACUCCAAAACAGAUCUCUAGAAACAGACAAGACUGACUACUGCCUGAAGGUUUCUGACACUAAGUUCCUGAUAUGUAUCAAAUAUGAAAUAAUUUUAGAAUUCGAUCUCAAAUGGCCCUUUUGCAAACUCCAAAAUGUUGUGUACAUGGAACAGAGGCUGUUAGGAAAUUUGCCUUGCAAAGAAACAACUUGUCAUCUACCUGUUUACCUCUAACAGAAGCUUAUACACAUAUGCAUGGGCUUGGAGAAAAUGAUAUUCACUUAAAAACAAUAUAAUAAUGACAUGUACAGAGCCAUAUAGCUCCAAAAGCUUUCAAGUGCUAUGUCCAUUUGUGAGGACAUAUUUAUCAGUCUAGUACUACCUUGUAACAGUACAAAAGUACAUUCACAUUAUUUUUCUAAAGGAGCUUAGUUCCUAGAGGGAAAAAUACACUCUUCUCAAAGUUUUAUAAUAAUAAUUAACAUACCCUAUAUGAUGUUUGUGAGACU